rnacentral:misc_RNA from 1 species
UGAUUGAAACAUGCUCAUAAAACUCCCUUGCAUAGGCGGCAAAAAUCUAUCGAAAGACUCGAACAUAGAAUCGGAACCAGGAGACGAUGACUCGUUGUAAGAGUCCAUCAAAGGGACUAAAGAUCUUGGCUCAUCUACAGUUCUUUGGUCGAGAAUUUCAGGAGAGUUAUCAACACCAUUAAAGUCCAUAAAUCGAGCAGCGUCGGAGUCUUUUCCGGUGAGUUCUUGCACAAGAGCCCUAAAUUUUGAGGCACUAGUCUCAACUUUCAUAGGGCUAGAUAUGUAGACAACUUUGAUACCCUUUUUAGUACUUCUUCUCCUGGCUUGUUUCUUGCCCUUCAUGUUAACACCAAGUACAUCCAUGACCAGAAAAAGAAAUCUAAGCAGAACCCAGAAAUGAUCGUUUGCUAAUUGUGUCGUGUAGUACUGAUGAGCCUUU